UUUUCUGCAACUUGGAUUAAUUAUCCACGUAACUCCCUAACUGAAAAUAUGAUUUGUACCAUGUAAAGAACCCGCCUAGUUAAAAUAAUUCGCACCUGUAAAAAUAUCCCAUACCCACUUAAUUUUCCAAUAGCGCACAUCAUCUCUCUAACCCCGCUAAACCAAAAUCCCAAGCCCUAGGAGAUGAAGCCAUGGAUUCUCAAUCUUUGUUCGUUUGGUUGAAGACAAAAUAAUCUAAAGUUUGUUUGAAAUUUCAUCUCUAUUUCAUUGUGUUUAGUUUUUUUAUGGAUCGAUUCUUACCGUGGACCUUCAUUGUUUGCUUUAUACAUCAUCAGUGUUCUAGUUUCUGCUUUACAGUACUUGUAAGUGUCGAUUUACCUAUUUUAAUAGUGUACUGUUGUAUAUUUUGGAUUUUGUUGUUAUGUUAAAUUUGUGUUGUUAGUUUCUGUUCUUAAAUUUGUGUUGUUAAAUUUCAGAAUUUCAGCUAUUAAAAUGCAUUCAGUUUGCAGUUAGAUAAAAUGUAGGCAGUUUGCAGUCAGUUCCAGGCAAUUUGCGUUGAGAACUCUCUGCUCUUUCCGACAUGGCUACAAUGGCUAUGGAGUUCGAGUUAAAAUCAGGGAAGAAGAAGAAGCAACUAACAAAUUAGGGCAAUAGGGUUCACAUUCCUAUUAAUUUCGACUAAAGCUCGACAAAUUGCAGAAAAGAAAGUAACCUUUGAAUUUUCAUGGAGAUGGAGAUUUUGAGAAUUAAGGCUUUUUUUAUAUCUGAUAAUGGAGAAAGGGUAGGGGAAAGUCGGGUAUCAAUGAAACUCCAAC
rnacentral:lncRNA from 1 species